AAGGCGGCCCCGGGCUAGGGCGAGGCGUUGCUAGGAGACGUUGCUAGGGCGGGGCUCGGGGGACUACGUAUAAAAGGCUGGCGCGGGGUCAGGCUGCCAGCGUUCUGGCCGGGAGCGAUAAAGCGGAGGCGUGGCGCCGCCCAGCGGGCUCGGACUGAGGGCCCGGUAGAGGCGGCGGGGGCUCCCCGGUGGCCAGGCGCGCUCCUCCUCCGUUUCUGCCGGCCGCGCGCCGUGCCUUCUUCCUUCGUCCUGCUGGCACGGUGGGUAGGAUGCUUGGGGCGCAGGGCCAUCGGGGGGCCGGCACGCAGCCCCCACCCUCGGAGGAAGGUCCCUGGUCCGGGAAAGUCCACGGAGGCCCCGAGGUCACUUCGCUGUGGCAGCAGGAACACGAUUGGAGAGCCACAGCCUGUGAUUAGGGAUUCCGACUGUUGUCUUCGCCUCGCUCGUCCUGCAGGGAGAUGGGGAAGAAAGGGCCUUGGUGGGGCUUCCGGUGGCGCCAGAAAAGCUACCCCAGAUGCUGAAGUCGGCGGGUCUAGAGCGCAGCGUUUUGCAGAGUGGCUCUCGCGGGGACCCAGGAUGGAGUCCAUGGGUACCUCACCAAGUCUGGACGGGCAUUCCGGACCCUGGGCAGCUCGCGCCGCUCUGCACUCUCCUCCCCGCUCUCCGUCUUUACUGUGCCUGAACUAGCCACCUUCAAAGAUCCAAGCCCCAAGACUCUUUGUUUAUUCAUGAGUUCUUCUUUCUUGGGAUUAAAAAGGGGAGGGCUAUUUCAAA